AAAGACAGGUGAGAAUCCUGUCCGCCGAAAGACUAAGGUUUCCUGGGGCAGGCUCGUCCGCCCAGGGUAAGUCGGGACCUAAGGUAAGGCCGAGAGGCGUAGCCGAUGGACAACAGGUAGAUAUUCCUGUACUAUUCGUAAUCGAUAAGAGCGAAGGAGGGACGCAGGAGGCUAAUGACGCAUGGAGAUGGAAUCAUGUGUAAGCGUUAAGGAAGGAUACGAGUCAAAUGCUUGUAGCCAAUUUUGAGACGUGAUGCGGAGUGAAAUAAAAGUAGCGAAGGUCAUGAAGUCACACUGCCAAGAAAAGCUUCUAGCCAGAGAGCGAGUACCCGUACCGCAAACCGACACAGGUAGUCGAGGAGAGAAUCCUCAGGUGAGCGAGAGAACUCUCGUUAAGGAACUCGGCAAAAUAACCCCGUAACUUAGGGAGAAGGGGUGCUGAAGAGAAAUCAGCCGCAGUGAAGAGACCCAAACAACUGUUUAUCAAAAACACAGGUAUCUGCAAAAUCGUAAGAUGACGUAUAGGUACUGACACCUGCCCGGUGCUGGAAGGUUAAGAGGAUAGCUUAGCGAAAGCGAAGGUUAGAAUUGAAGCCCCAGUAAACGGCGGCCGUAACUAUAACGGUCCUAAGG
rnacentral:rRNA from 1 species